AGACAAAGCGCCAGGGCUAUGACGGUCGAAAUGAUCAUAGCUGACGAGGUGGGGGUUUAUCGAGAAUGAUCGGCGGAUACCUCCCGAUUGCACAUCUCAAUCGAGACGUCUUUAUCUGAAACCAGGCAGGCAACUACCUGUACAAGGAUAA
rnacentral:ncRNA from 1 species